GUGAGUCGCCACAACCCUCUCUUCUCCUUGCUCCUUCCUUCCUCGUUGACACAGCCGUCGCGCUCCUGCUCCGGUCCUCCCUCCCCCCGCAGCCCCUGGAGCUCUGCCGCCUCUUUGGACGAGAUCCACCGCCUUCCGAGGCCUUUAUCCAGCCCAGCUCGCGAGGAAGCCGCGGGAGGAGGAGCUCAACCGGGCGUCGCCGGCCAGAUAAGGAGGAGAGGCGCGGAUGCCAGCCAGGGAAGCGGAUUGGUUCGCCUCCGCCACGUCGUGAGCGUCGCCGCCGCCUCUGCAUCCGCCUUGCUCUGCAUAGCACCAUUUGUGCGGCGGCGGGGACAGGCAACCACAGGCUGAUUUUGGGGAGCGAGCAUCAAGAAAUGGCCGAUGCCAUGUGUAGACGAACAACGUGAGAUGAGACGCUGCAACGCUGGGGCCAAACAAUCAUACUGCAGCAGCAAUAGUCAGCCCAUGAUAAAUCUCUGUUAAGUGCUUCUUUCUCUUUACCUCUUUACUCUUGUGUCUCUGACUUUGAUUUCAUAGUAGUAUAUGUUUUUAGCUAGACACAGUGUUUACAGAUUUGAUAAAGAAGGGUAGAUGAAGAAUCUAUCAGAAGAUUUCGCUGAACGGAACUUGCAUUUGAUGUUAUGAGUGUAGAAACAUAUUCUGCACUUUUAGGAAAUUAGAUAAUAGGACCGACUAAAGGAGAACUUCGGUUAAACUAUUUCUUUAUUUGUUUGUGCAACCAACCUUAUUUGGUUCUGAUUGAAAGAUAAUAUGACCGGCUAACGGAGAACUUUGGCUAAAAUAUAUCUUUAUUGUUUCUGCAACCAUGCUUAUUUGGUUUUGAUCGAUUGCUGGACAUGCCGAAUAAUGGUAGUGUGCAUGUGUGGCAGUGUAUUUUUCCCCUUCAUUUUGAGAAUUUAUGUUUUAGCUACGGAGCAGGAGGUGCAAAUGGCCGGUACAGAAGCUCCUUAAAACUAUUCGAUGAAAGGUAGACUUUUAUUUCUUUCUUCUUUUCUUCUCUGCCCCUGAUCUGACAGCUUUGGCUGUAGCCUUUGUUUGCUUGAAAAUCUCAAAUCAAGAGGGCAUGGCUUGAUUGCUAUCAAUAUUUUGCGCUGGCUACAAGAACUUAGAACCUAUAGGACAACAAAGUACACAUACUGACAAGGUCCUAUGAAAUAAUAGUGAACUUGUUUCUUCAUUUCCCACAGGAAUAUUGCUGCGAUGAAGCCUAGAAAAGUUGAUGUAUUCUACUCUCUGAGUGAACUGCUAUACAUCAAAUAGGGAAGAAGAUCAAAAAAUUCAACUGCCUAUUACAGAUGGCUUAUUAACAAGCAACCGUACUAUGCUACCAGUGUGUUUUUAUUUUCAAACUGUAAUGUCAGUUUAAGACCUUAGAUACUCAGCUUUGCACUCCAUUUGUAAGACUGUAUUGCCUGCUUCUGUUUGCUAUUACCUAAGAUCAACAAUUAGUGUGGCCCUUUGUGUACUUUUCUAUUCGCCCUUUUUGUUUGACACAGCUCCUACGUUUCUAUUCGGAUUCCAGCUACUAUGGAGGCCCUUGGGUGCUGUGGUGUAUGGGCCCAGAGACAAUAGCCCAGCCAAAAUUCCAUAGGUAUAUCAUAUAUUGCUAUGAAGACAGACAGAUGAAACCCUAGAUCGGCAGAGUGUUCUCUCCCGCACGUUCAGUGCCUCGCUCUCAAACAAUGAACACGCCGGCGCGGGCACCGUCAAUAUUGCUAGCCGCUGCUUCUCCAUGUGUUUCAGUAUCUGGAUGCCCGGAGAAGACCUCAAUAGGACCAUAGGAGAUGCCACUGGAUGCAGAGGAGAUACAUGCCAAGUUCUCUCCGGAUGAAGAAUACUCCAACAAUAACCAAUCUGAAGACCAGCUGCCUAAGCAGGAAGUGCCAGGCAUAACUAAAGCAUCGGUUGUUUUCUACUAUAUAAUCACCAACCUCACAAUGGGGCUGUGAAUUCUCAUACUCAGUGUAAUCCGAUGAGAAGUGGCUAAGGGCCUCUUCCAUGCCUGGCACUUCCUCUCAGUAAGAUGCGUAAUUUAAGCUUCAUAGGCUUAUUAUGAAAACUAUUUCUUGUCAUGAAGAUUUAAGCAGGCAAAAAGAUAUGCCUAUACUGACACCACUUAGCAAGACAAAAUUUGAACCAUGAAAACCAAUGCUAGCGUCAUCAUUUGUAGAUAGUUUUUCUAUGCCUAUUUCCUCUCAGUAAGAUGCGUAAUUUAAGCUUCAUAGUCUUAUUAUGAAAACUAUUUCUUAAUGUCAUGAAGUUUUAAGCAGGCAAAAAGAUAUGCCUAUACUGACACCACUCAGCAAGACAAAAUUUGAACCAUGAAAACCAAUCCUAGCAUCGUCAUCUAAAACGAAUAUACCAACUGCUUGCAUAAUUUCAGGAAAGGUCAGUAAUAUAGUUCUUUAGUGAUUUCUGUACUUAAGCUUUGUAAAACAAUUCCCUCUUUGCUUUCAGAGAAACCGCUUCUUGCACUGUUUCAGUGUUAGAUGUAUGUUCGUAUGCGACUCUUGCACACCAAAGUAUUUUUAUUCAGGCACAAGACUUCUGUUUAUACAUUGCACUCAGGAUUCAAUUCAUACUUGUGAUAAUUUGAAGCUACCAGGUAGUAAAUGUUGUGGUUUACACCGUCGAUGCAUAGCUUAUGCUUAUACAAGUAAUCAUAUACAAACUUACCUUCAUCAGCAUCCUGCACAUAAAGUUGUCCAGGAUAAAUUAGUUAUCUUUGUUUCUUGUUCUCUCAUCCUUGAAUUUGAUCAUCCAGUUGUUGCCAUAACAAAAAACAAUAUUUUACUUAGAUUAUUCAAAGUACAUUUUCCCCUCUAAAAGCUUUUAGUUGCCGAAAUAUGAUUCAUGCCCUUGCGCCUAAUGACAUCCGUUUAAAAUCACAUGCCACACCACCAAUGAUCAAAAUCUCUUACAGGAUGAUGUUGGAUGUUCUUUUAGAGACUUUAGAGCUUCCAACAGCUGAGUAUCGAAGCAAAGCAUGUGAUGGCGGUAGAGUAUGCGUCACUGUUUUUUUUCCAUACGCCCACAUCAUAUGUUGAAGAUCAUGGCAGUCGUAUGGCUAUUCCUGGGGUGCAGUGUAUCGAUCAUGCAAUGUCAGAAGACACAGUUGCCAUGGAAGCAAUUGGAUACAUAAAAUGCAGGGUUAAGACUGAACUAAGAGACUACAAUUACAAGAACAUGAAGAGACUAGAUGAGGAAAAUCAGUCUCUAAAGCAUGAGCUGGCUGUAGCUAAGUAUAACAAGCAGAAAACAAUGGCAAAUAUCAGAUCCAUCAAGAACAAAUUAAUGAUGGCUAGGUAUAAGAACAAGAAAAAUGCUAUGGGCUGGUUCGUUCUUAUACAAGAUACAUCAUGGAUUAUUUGAUCAUAUAUGCAAUGUAACAGUGCUCAAUAGAUCGUCUGGGAAAGAACCCAUGGAUCAGCUUAUGAACAAACCUCUUAACAACAUUGAAAAGAUAGCAGAAAAGCUCAAGCGCAGGGUGCUCAAAUCAGAGAAGCGGCUAAAAAGCAUCAGGAGAGGUUUCUAGAGUUGUACUCUACAAGAAUGCAUCCUAAAAUAGACCUUUUAGAAUUGUAGUCUAUUUCGCCCCUUUUGUUUAACCGCAUAGGUUAACCGUAAUGUAUAAUUAUAUUUCUCUUUAGACCAACCACAGAGUAAGACUUGCCAAGACUAUGUGUGUACGAGCUAAUGAUCACUCUCUGUUGCUUGCACCAUUUAUGUCUCUGGCCUUUUAUUUUAUUUUGAGUGGCAUUUAUGUCUAUUGCUGGCAUAGCCAAGGCCAUCAACA